AAAAGGAGAAGAGGGGUGUAAGAAGGAGGUUGAUCUUUGCCUAGUAAAGGAAGAUCGUUAGUGGAUGCCAGUGGCCUCAACAGAAGAGGAAUCGGAGGAGUGGAUGUAGGUCACGAUUGACCGAACCACUAUAAACUCCCGUCUUCUCUGGUUUGCAUUUUGUUUCCUGCUAUUACCUUACUGCAAACCCCUUUAAUAGCUUACUGCCUU
rnacentral:lncRNA from 1 species